CCUACGGGAGGCAGCAGUGGGGAAUCUUGGACAAUGGGCGCAAGCCUGAUCCAGCAAUGCCGCGUGGGUGAAGAAGGCCUUCGGGUUGUAAAGCCCUUUCGGUGGGGAAGAAAUCGGCCGGGCGAAUAGUCCGGUCGGAUGACGGUACCCGCAGAAGAAGCACCGGCUAACUACGUGCCAGCAGCCGCGGUAAU
rnacentral:rRNA from 1 species